GGGCGGGUAGCGCAGUUGGUCAAGCGUGUUCCGUGAGCGUACCUAAUCAGCGUUGAUUUCAUUCCAUUUUCAUCUCUACUAGCGUUCAUUGAAAGACCUGGGUUCGAAUCCCAGCCCGCCCA